GGGGGGGGGGGGGCCACAGGUGACUCUGAGACCGAGUGAGCUGUGUGAAGUGGGCCACGCCCCCAGACAGAGGACGGGCAGGGCAAUACAUCUCUCUUCCUUCAGUUUUACUCAGAGCAAGGUUCUCCUGGGAUGGGAACUAGGGCCAUGUCAGUGACAGAGGCUCCUCAGAGAAAGGCGGAGGGCAUGACAGCAUGGGCAUUCAGAGGGUAAGUGCACAGCGUUCAUGUUUGCUCCGUAUGUGCGGCAUGCGUUUUAACAGGCCUUGCUUACUACUCCUGCUCAGAUUCCUGCCUUCCAAAGUUUUACUUGAACAAUCAAAGCAGCCCUUGGAUUGGACGUGAUGGAGACUGAUGACAAAAGCCAAGUCAGUAAGCAGCAAGAAACUAUUUUAUUCUCUAAGGUUCUACGAUGAUAAAAAGGGUGUGGGGUGCUUGGGUGGCUCAGUUGGUUAACCAUUCAACUUAAGCUCAGGUCAUAUCUCGCAGUUCAUGAGUUCAAGCCCCAUGACAGUCUCUGUGCUGACAGCUCAGAGCCUGGAGCCUGCUUCGGAUUCUGUGUCUCCCUCUCUCUCUCUCUGCCCCUUCCCUGCGUUCUCUCUCUCAAAAAUAAAAAAUAAAAAGGGUAUGGUCUGAAUGGUGACUUUCAAAUUGUAUCGCUCACAACCCACCAGAAAUACAUUCCAUCAUAUGACCUAGACUCACAUGAGAGUGUGUGCACACACUCAGAAUGCUUUAAUUUAUUCUAAAUUGAAAUAAAAACAGCUAGAAAUUCUAGAUUGGAAAAAAAAACGCCAAAGGAUAGAGUGAAACGCAUAAAGUAACUUUUAAAAAUGUAUGGAUGUAAAUGCAAGAGUUCUGCACUGAGCAGAACCCUUCUUUCCUAAGUUUAAGACAAUAUGAGUAUAAUUUACCCCUUAGUAACAGUUUUCAUUCUAUGUGUGCGAAGAGGAGUAACCUUCCGAUGACAGCAGGCUGAAUGGGAUCCUAACUGGGAAUAACAUCAAUUUAACUUCGUUAAGAAUGGGGAGAAGAGCUAGAUUAUUUCAGUUGUGUCUAAAACAUUCUAUUCAGAAUAAAAUAAACGAUCCUUACACCUGGAGGAAGAUUAAAAGCCAAGCCACAGGGUCAAGCCAUUCCCAGGGAGCCAAUAGAAAGAGUGGAAAAUUCCGGGCACGUACGGUACAAGUUCCUUCCUUGCCCACAGUAGAUUUCACUUACCAAUCGUAGUUUUCCCUUCAGAUGAGCCCCAGUCUGAGCCCCGUCUCAAACCAUUCUCUAGGCAGCCACCAUCAGUUCUCCACCGGCUGGGCCCCCGGAGGCAGAGAGCCAAUGCGUGAUCUCACCACCACACACACCACAGCGACACUUCCCAGCCCAGGAAGAGGUCACGGCAGCAUCGUUUUCUUCCCAGGUUAUGAAGGACUUGUUUGCCGUGUACUUAAUUCUACCCCUGAAAGCAAGACUUGUGGGCUGAGAAAGAAAGACUAAUGCCAUCCCUGCAGAUUACUUGAAAAACAGAAACGACCCUGAGAUCACUCAGAGUUAAGAAGGUUCUCCUAACAGACCCAUAGCUGGUCCCUGAGAACAAAGAAAUCUAAGACUUAACAACACAACGGCCUCGUUGAAAUUUUACCCCUAGCGCAUCUGCUCGGCAGGCUCCUGGGUGCAGGCUCCUGGCUGGGGAAGGGUCGGACCUGUAGAAGCGCACGUGAAAGGACACGGAUGGUUCCAUGAGCGGUUCAAGGUCCUGGGCAGGAGAUGGGCCCCGUGCCGCUUCAUGGAGGAAUGCUGGUGGGCCUCAACUUCCAGCAUGAACACGACCUGUGAACACGUGUACAAGACUGGACUUUUAUGUUUCCAGUAAGAGCUGUUUGUGAGAAGUCUGUACCGACGGGUUGAUAUUAAGAGCAAAAAGGACACAGUGCCCAUGAACAUCUUGGUCACAAUUGUGUAAAUACUAGACAAUACUGGGAAACUAUAUAUUGACACUUUUGCCCUGGUUAGCUUUCAAUAAUGAAAUUGCAGGUAACGUU